rnacentral:rRNA from 1 species
GGAUUAGAUACCCUGGUAGUCCACGCCGUAAACGAUGUCUACUAGUUGUUGGGAGACUUGAUUCCUUAGUAACGAAGCUAACGCGAUAAGUAGACCGCCUGGGGAGUACGGUCGCAAGAUUAAAACUCAAAUGAAUUGACGGGGGCCUGCACAAGCGGUGGAGCAUGUGGUUUAAUUCGAUGCAACGCGAAGAACCUUACCAACUCUUGACAUCCAGAGAACUUAGCAGAGAUGCUUUGGUGCCUCCGGGAACUCUGAGACAGGUGCUGCAUGGCUGUCGUCAGCUCGUGCUG